rnacentral:rRNA from 1 species
AGGGAAUCUUCGGCAAUGGGCGAAAGCCUGACCGAGCAACGCCGCGUGAAUGAUGAAGGCCUUCGGGUUGUAAAAUUCUGUUAUAAGGGAAGAAUGACUCUAGUAGGAAAUGGCUAGAGUGUGACGGUACCUUAUGAGAAAGCCACGGCUAACUACGUGCCAGCAGCCGCGGUAAUACGUAGGUGGCGAGCGUUAUCCGGAAUUAUUGGGCGUAAAGAGCGCGCAGGUGGUUGAUUAAGUCUGAUGUGAAAGCCCACGGCUUAACCGUGGAGGGUCAUUGGAAACUGGUCAACUUGAGUGCAGAAGAGGGAAGUGGAAUUCCAUGUGUAGCGGUGAAAUGCGUAGAGAUAUGGAGGAACACCAGUGGCGAAGGCGGCUUCCUGGUCUGUAACUGACACUGAGGCGCGAAAGCGUGGGGAGCAAAC